rnacentral:misc_RNA from 1 species
GAUGAAGAACGCAGCGAAAUGCGAUAAGCAAUGUGAAUUGCAGAAUUCAGUGAAUCAUCGAAUCUUUGAACGCACAUUGCGCCCGCCAGUAUUCUGGCGGGCAUGCCUGUUCGAGCGUCAUUUCAACCAUCAAGCCCCAGGCUUGUGUUGGGGACCUGCGGCUGCCGCAGGCCCUGAAAACCAGUGGCGGGCUCGCUGUCACACCGGGCGUAGUAGAUUUUAUCUCGCUCAGGGCGUGCUGCGGGUUCCGGCCGUUAAAAAGCCUUUUUUACCCAAGGUUGACCUCGGAUCAGGUAGGAAGACCCGCUGAACUUAAUCAUAUCAAUAAGCGGAGGA